UACGUAGGAGGCGAGCGUUGUCCGGAUUUACUGGGCGUAAAGGGCGCGCAGGCGGCACCAUAAGUACGCAGUGAAAUCUCCCUGCUCAACGGGGAGGGUGCUGUGUAGACUAUGGAGCUAGAGGUGGGUAGAGGGUGGUGGAAUUCCUGGUGUAGCGGUGAAAUGCGCAGAUAUUAGGAGGAACACCGGUGGCGAAGGCGCACUCUGGGGCCGAAAACUGACCGCUGAGGAGCGAAAAGCAUGGGUAGCAAACAGGG
rnacentral:rRNA from 1 species